rnacentral:rRNA from 1 species
CCUACGGGUGGCUGCAGUGGGGAAUAUUGGACAAUGGGGGCAACCCUGAUCCAGCCAUGCCGCGUGUGUGAAGAAGGCCCUCGGGUUGUAAAGCACUUUCAGUGAGGAAGAACGCCUGGUGGUUAAUACCCAUCAGGAAAGACAUCACUCACAGAAGAAGCACCGGCUAACUCCGUGCCAGCAGCCGCGGUAAUACGGAGGGUGCGAGCGUUAAUCGGAAUUACUGGGCGUAAAGCGCGCGUAGGUGGCUUGAUAAGCCGGUUGUGAAAGCCCCGGGCUCAACCUGGGAACGGCAUCCGGAACUGUCAAGCUAGAGUGCAGGAGAGGAAGGUAGAAUUCCCGGUGUAGCGGUGAAACGCGUAGAGAUCGGGAGGAAUACCAGUGGCGAAGGCGGCCUUCUGGACUGACACUGACACUGAGGUGCGAAAGCGUGGGUAGCAAACAGGAUUAGAUACCCUGGUAGUC